CCUAAAUAUCGCCAGCAAUACCAAGACAGCAAAACUGAUGAAUUCCUACUAUUCAGCUUCCUGCAAAAGGACCCACCCAGGAAUGUUUGGGGAUUUCUGUGUAACCUGGAGAUAGCCACUAAGUUCUGGAGCUCUUUGAGAUUCCUCGGACCUUUACAGUAUGCCGAACAUAAUUUCUAAUUAAUCUAAGGAAUUUAAGAACUAAGUUACUUAAUAAAAGAGCUCUUAUACCUGGAUUAAGGUAUCAGACCAAGAGGAAAGCAUCAAGACUUGGUGGGAUGAUGUAAAAGGAUGUUGCGUAAGAAUCUGAAGUCAUUACCCACUGACGGAUCACAAAAGGGCUCUGUUCCUUGUUCCUGCAAGAUUGCAGAGGAUUUCACAACAGUGAUGGGUAUAAGCGCAAGACUCAGGGACUCCGGGACAUGAUUUCAGCCUCCAUCAUGUACUAGUUACUAGAUGGGGAAAUUAUAAAUACCUGGUCUCCAGGAACCGAAACUGUAGCAGCAGUUGGACACUAUGAGUUUUGAGAGAGAAGAAUCUUUAUGUUGUUUGAAUCCUGAACAGAGUCGAAGAGAAGAGUAGAAGCUUGGGAUGAGGAAAAUCGGAGUUUCCUUUUUAUUCCUCCUUUUUUGUGUGUAUGGCUGGAAAUUUAGAGUAGAUGGUAGCCAGUUUGCAGUAAACUGUCUCCCCCUGUGGUUCUUUGGUGCUGUAUUCAGAUCCUGAUUAUUCCUGAACACCUGGUUCAUGGGCCACGUUUUGUACAAAACCGUCCUGAGCUAUCCCAGUCAGCUCAUACUACCCUCAACUGCAUGCAUAAACUGAAAUUCUCACACCUUUUGACACAGAAUCAUGUACUAUGCUAUAUGGUUUGUUGCCUUAUGAUAUCAUCUAUAGAACUAUCUUGAGAACAUUCAUUCAUUUAGUCAGUGAACAACAAUGUAUUGGGACCCUCUGUAGUCCCUGAUCAUGAAAAGUAGGAGAACGAUUGUUUUGAACAGACUGUGCGUAUCUACUGAGUACAUAUAAAUCUCUGAUGAUUUUUAUUCAUUUAAUUAAUUUUAAAAUAUUUUUAAAAUGAAUUAAUUAAUUUGUUUAUCUGAGAGAGAGAGAGAGCGAGAGCACACAAGCAGAAGGGGAAGCAGAGGGAGAGGGACAAGCAGACCCCGCAUUGAGAGUAGAGCCUGAAGGCGGCUCCAGCCCACCACUCCACAGGAGGUCAUGAUCUGAGCUGAAACCCAGUUGGUAGCUUAACCCACUGAGCCGCCCAGGUGACCCCCCCUCUGGCAAUUUUUAAAUUUCUAGUAGGAACCAAAGCUUUCUCUUUGACAGAAGUGUCUGCAUUAUUGCCACCAGCCUCCUUAGGCAUUGGGACCAUGUAGGGAUACCUCAAGACUUGCAGUUGCCUGGACAUCACUCCCUUCACCUA
rnacentral:lncRNA from 12 species